GGUUUUUGAUUCCUUCAAUUGCUCCCCCACAUCGGAACCCAGUAGUUAUAUCACCCUUUCCUCGUCCCAACACCACCGCUAUUCAUCACAACGACUCCUCCAUCAAAGGAGCCUCACCCCUCUGCGAUUACAUCUCCUAUUUCUAUGAACCCUCAAUCGCCGACUACGUACUGCUACGACCAUCCUCACAACCUCAUCGUCCGUUGCUCUCGACACCACCAUAUCGAAAUCGUACGACUCUUUCCCGCCGGUCUAGAAGAUGUCUGGAAGUUCCAUUUCGACGAUUAUGUUGAUUUUCUGGCGUUAGUUACGGUGGAUACGGUUCAGGAUCUCAGCGCAAGGGGAGGGUUCUUAUUUGGGAUUCCGUUAAUGCUGAUACCGACGCUUGGGAAGAGGUGGAAAGAUCUGACGGCAUAAAUUAGCACGAUGACCAGCCCGGGUUCUCGUAUUACCUUCUUUAAUUACAAGCCUCUAAUUGGUUGGCUACAUUGUGCUGAGAUGGUUGCAUAUAAUCUGCAGUUCGCGUGAUUUGUAAUUUCAUGAAGGCUUCAAAGAAAAGUGUUAGGGGAGUCGCAACUAAGAAGAAAAUUGUAAAGAUUGUGAACGAACCCAAGGCCGAAGUAAUUUAGGAUAGAUGGAGCAUUGCCGAAAAGAUUUGGGAAGAAAUCUUCAAUUUCAUCAUCAAUUGACUCACACUUAUCGUUCAUCAUUGACCAUCGUAUACAGGUUUUCGUUCGAAGUUGAGAGGGUUUACUCCCUCAGUGACUUGAUGAAAGUAAGCUAGCUAGUAUUGUGUAAGAUAUCUUUUGUCCCAAUAAUAUAUUAUAUAUGUUUUAACCCGAUUGCUAAAUCUUGAAGAAUCAUAAUAAGGCACACUCUGUUGUUGGUGCUGAGAGUUACUCUGUUUCACAUUUAUUACCAUAAUGGAGUAGCAGCAAAGCAUAUAGAUCAUUAAAACGUUAUUGUGUAGUGGCAUUAAUCUAGCCAUCUUCAUGCUCCUUUGGAAGGGUACAUAUCAGCCACUCAAAGUGCCUUGAUCAAGACUGAAAGAUACUUGCUAGAGAUUUUGGGCAAGUACAAGAAUCAAUGCAUUCAGUUAUAUCAACGAACAAAAAAAGAGAUACUCGAUACUACACUAAAUGAAUUCUCAGAGGGUUAUUUUAGUUUUUCUAAGGAAAACCGCCACAAAUUUCUACUCAUUUGUGCUUGAUAGUGUGAUCUUAAUUGGACUAAAGUUCAGGGUUUUGAUGAAGCAGUUUGUUGGUCUUCAGAUCCCUAAUGAAUUGAAAGAAAUCGAAAAGGGCAUUAUAUAUCCUGGCGGUUUGAAGUUUUUGGUCCCUUUUUGUGCUUUAUUAUCAUGCUAUUAGGAGAGGGAAUGCUUUGGCAGAAGAUGGCAUGGGGGCUUUGAGGAAGAUUCAAGAACAAUGGCUGUUAGUGUGUUGUUGAUACUUCGAGAAUGCAUGGUUAUGUUCACCUUCGUAAGUAACAAUAAGCAUACCAUCAACGUCCAUGGCCCUCUCGACGUGUUUUCUUGCGGUACAACCUCUAACACUGCUACACUUGUAAUAACCUCUGGAUUCAUAAAACAACAAUGAAUAUAUCAGAAAUACUUAUUCUUUAAUUUUUAA